rnacentral:lncRNA from 1 species
UUUGACAUCAGAAAAAAAUACAAAACCUAAACCUAAACCCAUUUUUUUUCAAGAGGAGCCGCCCCCCACGUUUUUGGUUUUCCUCCUCAGCUGGUUCCACCAUCUUCUUCUCCCCUGACCAGCCACACCCGGUUUGGGGCUCCCACCAAACAGCAGCAACCUUGACAAACCAAACAGACCCCCUGGAUCAGAUUUUUUUUCCUUUCUUCUGGCCAGCCAACAGCUCCGGCCCCCACUUCUGAUUUUAACUUUUCUUUCCUUGGCCGUUUCCCCCUUUGCCUUGACAAAGCAAGUCAAGCCAUCACCAUUUCCCCAUUUUCGCUCAUCUUCAAAGCCGAAACCAGGGAAGCCAAGGCAGCCCUCUUCCCGUCUCCUUAGUCUUCCUCUCGGCCAAAAAGCCAAAAUCGGCUGAACCCAUACUCGACUCUCCUCUCGCCAGCCACCCUUUUAUUGUAGCUCCAUCGCUGCCCAUUGCAACAAACCGGAGCAGCCACCACAGCCACCCAACUUCCUUCUGUCCCUCUUGACAGCCAUUCGCCCCUUCUCCUCACCCAAACCAACCUUCUCCAUCCUUACCGACCUGACAUCCUCCAGUCCUCCAGCUCACAGAACCAGAGCCCCCAUUUCCAUCUUCUCUAAAAGCGAACCACAGCUGCCUUCCUUCUUCCCCAAAGAAACCGAACAGCUCCCCUCAUCUCCUCUACAGCAGACCCGUCCACGGCAGAGAAGAGAAAGGAAGGAAAAGUCCGAUCUGACACUGGAGGCAGAGGAGAAGACGAAACCCCUAACGAUCUGAAGAAGGAAAAGAACCGAUCUGCAGAGAAGCAAAUCAAAGAGAAGCAGAUCUGUAACGGAAAGAAAAAAAUUAAAACGAACUGCUGUUUGUGAGUUUUUCUCUUGUUGCAGGUGGCGGUGACCCUCACGCACCUCUGUUUUUUCAGAUUUUCCAGCGGCGGCGCGUGAACCCACGCGCCGCCCCUGUUCCCAGCACUGUUCCGGGGUGCAGAAGGGCUUCCCUGCAAUUUUUGGAGUUUUAGGGACUAUUGUGUAAUUUUUUAAAAUUAAUUAAUGUAAUUUUUAUUUAUUUGUUUUGAUUCUGAAUUUGUAUUUGUAUUUGUAUUUGUGCUGUGGAUGUAAAAGAAAAAGAAAAGAAACAAAAAUAGUGAAAUGUGAAUGUGUGUGUUUGUAUUUUUGUUUAUGUCAUUGAAUAAUAAAUAAAUAAAAAAG